rnacentral:rRNA from 1 species
UGGGGAAUUUUGGACAAUGGGCGAAAGCCUGAUCCAGCAAUGCCGCGUGUGUGAAGAAGGCCUUCGGGUUGUAAAGCACUUUUGUCCGGAAAGAAAUCCUUGGCUCUAAUACAGUCGGGGGAUGACGGUACCGGAAGAAUAAGCACCGGCUAACUACGUGCCAGCAGCCGCGGUAAUACGUAGGGUGCAAGCGUUAAUCGGAAUUACUGGGCGUAAAGCGUGCGCAGGCGGUUUGCUAAGACCGAUGUGAAAUCCCCGGCUCAACCUGGGAACUGCAUUGGUGACUGGCAGGCUAGAGUAUGGCAGAGGGGGUGAGAAUUCCACGUGUAGCAGUGAAAUGCGUAGAGAUGUGGAGGAAUACCGAUGGCGAAGGCAGCCCCUGGCAAGU